rnacentral:rRNA from 1 species
GACGUAGGGGGCGAGCGUUGUCCGGAUUUAUUGGGCGUAAAGAGCUCGUAGGUGGCUUGUCACGUCGGUUGUGAAAACCUGCAGCUUAACUGUGGGCGUGCAGCCGAUACGGGCGAGCUAGAGGCAGGUAGGGGAGAGUGGAACUCCUGGUGUAGCGGUGAAAUGCGCAGAUAUCAGGAAGAACACCGGUGGCGAAGGCGGCUCUCUGGACCUGUUCUGACGCUGAGGAGCGAAAGCGUGGGGAGCGAACAGG